GGGCGUAUAGCUCAGUGGUAGAGCUUAUGCUAAGAAUUCAUAAAGCUUUGGGUUCAGUUCCAAGUGUCCCCA
rnacentral:tRNA from 1 species